UGACUGCCGGCUAAAAGUCGGAGGAAGGUGGGGAUGACGUCAAAUCAUCAUGCCCUUAUGACCUGGGCUACACACGUGCUACAAUGGGCGGUACAAAGGGUCGCGAACCCGCGAGGGGGAGCCAAUCCCAAAAAGCCGCUCUCAGUUCGGAUUGCAGGCUGCAACUCGCCUGCAUGAAGCCGGAAUCGCUAGUAAUCGCGGAUCAGCAUGCCGCGGUCGAAUACGUUCCCGGGCCUU
rnacentral:rRNA from 1 species